AUGUGUGCUAGAAAAGGUUAUCCAAGGACAACUGCAGCUGUGGUCUUUUUUAAAGGGCCGCUACAUUGUCGUUGGGAUUUACAUUCAAAUGUUACAUUGACUAACUCACCUUGCUUUGUUUAUGUGCUGUCGGCUUAUUCUCUGAGUCAGUUCACCACCACUUUACCACAUCACACAAUAGUCUACAGACAAGAGAUAAGGCCGGAUCACAAAUGCGCUGCUGCUGCUGCUGCUGGCUGCAGCUUCAAACACCUUGAAUCUCUGAUACCUUUCCACAGAUGCACCUCCGGAGUGUUCUGUCUGAGGUCAGCUUUACUCAGCCAGCUGGAACAGCUGUCCCGGCAUUUGUUUCACCAGAGAAACACUGAUCGCCUCAGAUGUACCUUGCAGGUCCUGUCAGCUCGUUUGUUGUCAGAUGAGAGCUGCAGCAUCUAUCUGCUAACUGACCCAUGAAGAUCUUGAUCCUUUGGCUGCAAUAUGGUCCAGACUUUAUGGUGCCAGUUACACAAGACGAGGUAAAUGGUUUAGCUUUGUUUAUGAGAUAUAUAUACACUAUUAGAAUGUAUAUGCAAGGAAAA
rnacentral:lncRNA from 12 species